rnacentral:lncRNA from 1 species
AAGUGCCCGCGAGCCACCCGGAAGUGGCGCGCCGGAAGCCGGCGCAGCCUCCCGGCCGCCCGCGGGAGUCGCUGCCCAGUUCCCUGAUCGUUUGGGGUUCCCGGCCCCCCCGCUCAGCCGAGGACGGGGAUGCGCUCGUGGGCGACAGCUUCCCUCACGGUCGUCCACUUGACACCCUCCGGGCCGUACCACCGCGGCCCAGGCGGAGGGUAGCGCUGGCGAUGCCCCCUCCACCCCCGCAGCUGCCCGUUGUCACUGUCCGGGCAGUACCACCGCGGCCCAGGCGGGGGUGUGGUGCUGUGAUGGCGGCCGCCUAUUGUGGCUGUCCGGGCCGUACCACCGCGGCCCAGGCGCGGGUGUGGUGCUGUGCUGGCGGCCGUCUACUGUCGCUGUCCGGGCCGUACCACCGCGGCCUAGGCGGGGGUGUGGUGCUGUGAUGGCGGCCGCCUAUUGUGGCUGUCCGGGCCGUACCACCGCGGCCCAGGCGCGGGUGUGGUGCUGUGCUGGCGGCCGCCUACUGUCGCUGUCCGGGCCGUACCACCGCGGCCCAGGCGGGGGGGAUGCGGGGCGGCGGCGUCACCCAGCCCGCCGCAGCCAUUGUCAUAGCCCGGACCGUCCCACCGCGGGCGCCGGCGGAGUUGUGGUUUCAGGGGACAGCAAAUCCGGCCCCAGUGCGCCCACGUGAGAAGAGGAAGACGAAGCGAGCGCGGCGGCUGACGGAACCGGCACGCAGGCGCUCCGCUGGGUCCUCGGGCCACCCCGGCGGCGGCUCCGCCCAGGCCGUGGGGCUCCGUCCAGGGGCGGCCCGGGCCCCGGGAGGG